rnacentral:rRNA from 1 species
CGUUGGCGGCGUGCUUAACACAUGCAAGUCGAACGGAAAGGCCCUGCUUUUGUGGGGUGCUCGAGUGGCGAACGGGUGAGUAACACGUGAGUAACCUGCCCUUGACUUUGGGAUAACUUCAGGAAACUGGGGCUAAUACCGGAUAGGAGCUCCUGCUGCAUGGUGGGGGUUGGAAAGUUUCGGCGGUUGGGGAUGGACUCGCGGCUUAUCAGCUUGUUGGUGGGGUAGUGGCUUACCAAGGCUUUGACGGGUAGCCGGCCUGAGAGGGUGACCGGCCACAUUGGGACUGAGAUACGGCCCAGACUCCUACGGGAGGCAGCAGUGGGGAAUAUUGCACAAUGGGCGGAAGCCUGAUGCAGCAACGCCGCGUGCGGGAUGACGGCCUUCGGGUUGUAAACCGCUUUCGCCUGUGACGAAGCGUGAGUGACGGUAAUGGGUAAAGAAGCACCGGCUAACUACGUGCCAGCAGCCGCGGUGAUACGUAGGGUGCGAGCGUUGUCCGGAUUUAUUGGGCGUAAAGGGCUCGUAGGUGGUUGAUCGCGUCGGAAGUGUAAUCUUGGGGCUUAACCCUGAGCGUGCUUUCGAUACGGGUUGACUUGAGGAAGGUAGGGGAGAAUGGAAUUCCUGGUGGAGCGGUGGAAUGCGCAAAUAUCAGGAGGAACACCAGUGGCGAAGGCGGUUCUCUGGGCCUUUCCUGGACGCUGAGGAGGGAAAGCGUGGGGAGCGAACAGGCUUAGAUACCCUGGUAGUCCACGCUGUAAACGGUGGGUACUAGGUGUGGGGUCCAUUCCACGGGUUCCGUGCCGUAGCUAACGCUUUAAGUACCCCGCCUGGGGAGUACGGCCGCAAGGCUAAAACUCAAAGGAAUUGACGGGGCCCCGCACAAGCGGCGGAGCAUGCGGAUUAAUUCGAUGCAACGCGUAGAACCUUACCUGGGUUUGACAUGGACCGGGAGUGCUCAGAGAUGGGUGUGCCUCUUUUGGGGUCGGUUCACAGGUGGUGCAUGGCUGUCGUCAGCUCGUGUCGUGAGAUGUUGGGUUAAGUCCCGCAACGAGCGCAACCCUUGUUCACUGUUGCCAGCACGUUAUGGUGGGGACUCAGUGGAGACCGCCGGGGUCAACUCGGAGGGAGGUGGGGAUGACGUCAAGUCAUCAUGCCCCUUAUGUCCAGGGCUUCACGCAUGCUACAAUGGCUGGUACGGAGAGUGGCGAGCCUGUGAGGGUGAGCGAAUCUCGGAAAGCCGGUCUCAGUUCGGAUUGGGGUCUGCAACUCGACCUCAUGAAGUCGGAGUCGCUAGUAAUCGCAGAUCAGCAACGCUGCGGUGAAUACGUUCCCGGGGCUUGUACACACCGCCCGUCAAGUCAUGAAAGUUGGUAACACCCGAAGCCGGUGGCCUAACCGUUGUGGGGGAGCCGUCGAAGGUGGGACUGGUGAUUAGGACUA